GGCAUCCGUUCACGCAUCUGUUCUCAUGAAACUAUUUGUCUAGCUCUGAAAUCCAUGAAACAGAUACAUUUCGCGUCUCCAACCGUGUCCUCUGUACCUCUGGCAGCCUAGAAACCAGUGGUAAUCUAUUUGGAAUUGCCCCUUCAGCACCUCCUGCUGGCAAGCUGUCGGUGUUCAGCUAGACAUCAGCAAUCACAUGAUCAGCAUGGCCUAAAUCGCCUUAAGCAAAAGCCUUUCUACAUGGGAUAUUUGGAAAAAAAAGGAACGCCAAGGUUUCUCAUUUGCCCUUUCAUUUGGAAUGAUAGAGGGUCUUGUGUAUCCUUGACAGAUUUGGUUUGACUCCCUUGGGAACUUGGUUUGGAAACAUCGAGUAUAGUAGACAACGAGUUAGAAGAACUGUUUGAGUUAUCUCUUAGAAUGUUUGAUACAAGAUUACCACAUGGAGUAACCGUUCUCUCGCCCUUUGCUGAAGAUUCUUCACUGACUAAAGUUGGAGUAGAGAACUUACCAGAGGAGUUAUUUCCAGUGCUUCAAACGAUACAACUGUUGCGCGGGCUGACUGUUGGGAUGGGCCUCCGUUUUUCAUAAAACUAUUUUCUUUUC